UCCCCGGAGGACUGAUGGUUAGGCCACAGUGCUCUCACUGCUGCAGCCUGGGUUCGAUUCCUGGCCAGGGAA
rnacentral:tRNA from 1 species